GGACUACCAGGGUAUCUAAUCCUGUUUGCUCCCCACGCUUUCGCGCCUCAGCGUCAGUUACCGUCCAGAAAGCCGCCUUCGCCACUGGUGUUCCUCCUAAUAUCUACGCAUUUCACCGCUACACUAGGAAUUCCGCUUUCCUCUCCGGCACUCAAGAAAAACAGUUUCAAAUGCAGGUCCAGGGUUGAGCCCUGGAAUUUCACAUCUGACUUAUUCUCCCGCCUACACGCCCUUUACACCCAGUAAAUUCGGACAACGCUUGCCACCUACGUAUUACCGCGGCUGCUGGCAC
rnacentral:rRNA from 1 species